UUGGAAACGACGCUCCCAUUUCAGACCCAGCAGCUCCUGAGGCCACGUAUCUGACACACCUACAUUGGCCACGUUAUCACUAAACUUGGUCUUAAGGCUCCUCGGCAUUGGCAGGAAAGAGAGAACAGAAGUAUGAUGCCAUUCUUUGGUCCUUGACAGGGCCAUCAUUUAGCCAGUUAUGGUCAGAAGACAAGCUGAGAGUGUUCUCUCAGCAGUGCAAAAUAUCAGUUGAGCCUCCCUGGAGCAGCUGGGUGAGACGCAUGGAUUGAAGAGAAGCCUGGGGUCUGGAGUGAGAUGGAAGAAACCCUGCAGGCAGCACCCAGCACAACGCGUGGUCUGCAGCGAGCUCCUCACGCCUUGGAGCUGACAGCAUCUGCUAUUUUUAUUCAGUCACUAAGAAACAAUAAAGGAGGGAACUAUUUAUGGGGAAAGUAAUUAACUCCAGAAGAAUCAGGAGGUAAGCAGUGCUGGGGGCUGUCUAAUCCCUAGGGCUUUACAUAAAGCAGCAGAAGACAUUUUAUUGAGAAACCGAGCUUCAGAUCCCCCCUUCCUCCCUCCACUGCAGCAGCCUCCUGCUCCUGCUUCUCUCCUGGAGUCAAUUAUAGGCACCACAGUGACAGACUCCUACCCUGUGUUAGGCUUGGACAACAUGUCUUUGUGCUGCUCCUUGCCCUGCUCUCAAAGCAUUCAGCAGAGCCUGGUGAAGGAGGAAUUUUGUUUAAGAGAUAAGCGAUGCAGUAUCUCAUUUCAGGAGUCCACAGAAUGACACGGCUAAUCAAUAAAUGUUUCAUUAGCUCACAAAGCGUGCUGACACAGCCAAGUUUUCAGCAAAGCUGGCAAUGCUCAGCUUCUGCUUAAAUAUCUGGCUAGUCCACGUACAGCUCCAAGUGUUGUACAAAAAGUCACAAAAUCCACAGCCAGAGGCACAAGACAGACAGACAGACAUAGAAGCCCAAACAGCACUCCAUCAAAACAAAAGCAGCUACAGAAGAUUAACAACAGGGAGCAGCUUCAAGCAACCUAGGAGAAUAAAUGCAGCUCAGUUCAUUUAUGGCGUUGCUUGUUUGUGUAAGCUGUUGCUGAUCUCACAUUUGCAAGAACAAGAUACUUUCUAGUACAAAGCCAUGGUCUGUGGGCUGCAUUGUAGACAUAGCUGGGGCGUGGAAAAUGCGAAAGGGACACAAAGAAACAAUGAAACUGAUUGGCACAAAGACUGCAACAGGACUCAACAGCACCACUGGCAUUUAGUUUGCUUUCAGCUGAAGCGGAGGGGGGAGCCUGCAACAUACAAAAGGCUUUUCAAAAGGUGUUUGUCCAAAGCAGCAAUGCCAAUAGUUAGCCAGACUGGGCUCCAAGUGAUUCCUAGGGGUUACUAAGAUAUACUUCACUGAUCUGCAGAAAGGAGGAGCUAAGUGUGCACUUAUUAAAGAGCCAGAGCCAAGACUAUGGCUCAAGUUGGACAGGAAAGUGCAAGGCAUCUUGGACAGUGAAAAUAGGCAGCAGCAAGCAGAGUUCAGAGCAGAUGAAAAAGUCAAAGGAUCAUAAUUAAGCAAAACAAAUAAACAAAAACAGGAGAGUAAGCAGGCGUCAGAAGAAACAGGCCACAAGCCAGCCUGGCUGAAUUUUAAAGCCACAACAAGCCUUGCAAGCAACAACAGUCAGCUUUACUUGAUCUACUUCUUCUCUCAGUGCAGCUGGGCUGUACACUGCAGCGUUGUGACAUCAGGAUCACAGUAAUUAUUGCCUCUGGACUCAUAGGUGACAAUGGAUAUUGCUCUACGAGAGAGUAGCAAGAGCAAUGCAAGCCUCAGGACCAACAGCUCAGAUGAAAAACGUUUCUUAAAGUAAUGUAUUAGCUGCAAGUUAAAUUAUCUAGAUUUUAUCCUCUGUAUCAGAGGAAGGGCUCAGAAAUUCAACUGCUUGCAUAUAAAAAGCAGUAAAUGUCAGAAUCUAAAUAUAUUUUAGAUUCCUCAGUUGACAUUAAACGCUAUAGAGAAAGUGAAAACGUGGAAGUACAGAAGAAUAUGGCGCUCUUGUGUGAGCAAGGAAAGCAAUACAUCAAAUAUCUCCUUUCCAAUUCUAGCUUCCAAGAGGCUGAAAGAAAAGUACUCGGUAGAAAAAAAAGCACUUGCUGUUCAGUGUGGAGAGCUGAAGACAGAGGGCAGCUUCAGGAUCCUGGUGGAAUGAGUUUAUGCAGAAAGACAAGCCAUGAGUGUUGGUCUCCCCAUGAAGACAGCAAGCGAACACAGCCCUUCUCAUCCUGUUUGUGUACCUGUAGUCUUGCUGGCAGGAACAGAAGAAUGAGCUUGAAUCCUGAGGGAAAAAAGAACACCAAUAGAAAAGCUGAGUUUUUGGGAUAAGUAGCCUAUGUCCUAGACGUGAGCAGUAAGACUUUGCUUUGUUUCUCAAUUCACAUUCAGACAUACCAUUAGCAUUCCUUGCUGUUUUCUUAAAGCAACCAAAAACAGAACUGGGGACACCUUGUUCCAAAGCUAUUCAGAUAUAAGGAAACACCCUAUCCAGCCCUGCUGGUACAUCCAGCUGUUGAGGCACAUGAGCAUUCAGUGAUUGAUUUAACACCACUGACCUUUGGUUACAGAGACACACAAACUCACUUUUACCAUAGAAACACUUCUAGUGUCAGUAUUUAUUUUACCUUAAUAUACAUUUAUACAGGCCAUAAUAAAAAGGCUAUUACACAACAGUUCAGUGAGUUAUUACCUAAUUUCAAGAAUAAUGCAUGCAAUUACAAAGGAGAGGUAGAAACACCGUAUUAAAGACCUAAAAAUACAAACAUUAUAUAAACAAACACUUUCAAAUUAACUGUUGGAAUUUCAUACAGAUAAAUAAGAUAAAAAGUACAUUACUCUGUCAAAGAAAAGGAAACACAUGGUUAUCCGAACACUGAAAGAAUAUCUUGAUGUGUAAGCCCUGUACAACUUUGUCAAAUAGCUCAGACCACUGUAUUUAAGAGGAUUAAAAUGAUUCUGUCCUGGAGAAUGGUUUAUUCAAGUAUUCGAGCAGUUGAGUAACAAAAAAAGUCCCAGAAAU